UUAUCAGAAAAAAAUAUGACUUUAGGUAAGAAAAAAUGAAAUAAAACAUGACUUGUCCAUAUGCUAAUUCAUCAUUACGUGUCAAAACGCCAUACACUCCGAAAUUCCUUUUUCCUUCAAAAAAACUCCAGCAAAAUAUAUCCCCUAAAAAUGCAAAUUUGAUAAGAUAAGGCAUAUGUAUCAUCUUUCCAUCGACUAGUGGAAACUUGUUCACGAUUUGUAUACACCCGAAUGUGUGGUUAUUCCCGGUGAAAUUUAAACUCUUCAUGAAAUCACCAAAACGUUUCGACAGUAAGUGGAAUUUUGCUUGACUCAAACGUUUGAUCAACAUUGAUUAUCAGCUGUAUGGGAAACGUGCAGCUUUUAAACGAAAUGUGAAUUUGGUUACAGGAAUUUCUUUUACGUGCUUUUGGCCAUUUACCAUGUUUACAUGUUAUGUUAUAUCUAGCACUGGAUAACACAUGCAAGUUGGAUAAAAAUAAUAUUUGAGAAGAUCCCACCAGCUAUUCUCAAGAAAAUGCUGUUUUAAUUUUUCUUUUGUCUAUUUUUGUAAAUUUAAAUAAAAAUUAUGUAGAUUUUA